rnacentral:sRNA from 1 species
AGUAUUGAAUGCCGAAGACAGCAGGUGCCGUAAGGCGUAAGAUGAAAACACCUGCCGAGGAAUGUACAAAACUCACAUGCAGAAUUUUGUAAACCUCUCUGUCUCAGCGGCAGGGAGGUUUCCUUG